rfam:Schistosoma margrebowiei strain Zambia genome assembly, scaffold: SMRZ_scaffold0000872
AUCCAGUUGACGAGUCCCAACUGGGACGAAACGCGCGUCGUGGAC